AGAGUUUGAUCCUGGCUCAGGAUGAACGCUGGCGGCGUGCUUAACACAUGCAAGUCGAGCGAAGCACUUAUGCAAGAUUCUUCGGAUGAUUUCAUUUGUGACUGAGCGGCGGACGGGUGAGUAACGCGUGGGUAACCUGCCUCAUACAGGGGGAUAACAGUUGGAAACGACUGCUAAUACCGCAUAAGCGCACAGUACCGCAUGGUACCGUGUGAAAAACUCCGGUGGUAUGAGAUGGACCCGCGUCUGAUUAGCUAGUUGGUGGGGUAACGGCCUACCAAGGCGACGAUCAGUAGCCGACCUGAGAGGGUGACCGGCCACAUUGGGACUGAGACACGGCCCAAACUCCUACGGGAGGCAGCAGUGGGGAAUAUUGCACAAUGGGGGAAACCCUGAUGCAGCAACGCCGCGUGAGUGAAGAAGUAUUUCGGUAUGUAAAGCUCUAUCAGCAGGGAAGAAAAUGACGGUACCUGACUAAGAAGCCCCGGCUAACUACGUGCCAGCAGCCGCGGUAAUACGUAGGGGGCAAGCGUUAUCCGGAUUUACUGGGUGUAAAGGGAGCGUAGACGGCGAGACAAGUCUGAAGUGAAAGCCCGGGGCUCAACCACGGGACUGCUUUGGAAACUGCCUUGCUAGAGUGCUGGAGAGGAAGUGGAAUUCCUAGUGUAGCGGUGAAAUGCGUAGAUAUUAGGAAGAACACCAGUGGCGAAGGCGGCUUUCUGGACUGAAACUGACGCUGAGGCACGAAAGCGUGGGGAGCGAACAGGAUUAGAUACCCUGGUAGUCCACGCCGUAAACGAUGAGUGCUAGGUGUCGGAGGGGAACCUUCGGUGCCGCAGCAAACGCAAUAAGCACUCCACCUGGGGAGUACGAUCGCAAGAUUGAAACUCAAAGGAAUUGACGGGGGCCCGCACAAGCGGUGGAGCAUGUGGUUUAAUUCGAAGCAACGCGAAGAACCUUACCAAGGCUUGACAUCCCGAUGACCGCUCUAGAGAUAGAGCUUCUCUUCGGAGCAUCGGAGACAGGUGGUGCAUGGUUGUCGUCAGCUCGUGUCGUGAGAUGUUGGGUUAAGUCCCGCAACGAGCGCAACCCUUAUCUUUAGUAGCCAGCAUUAAGAUGGGCACUCUAAAGAGACUGCCGUGGAUAACACGGAGGAAGGUGGGGAUGACGUCAAAUCAUCAUGCCCCUUAUGUCUUGGGCAACACACGUGCUACAAUGGACGGAACAAAGUGAAGCGAGACCGCGAGGUGGAGCAAAGCACAAAAACCCGUUCUCAGUUCGGAUUGUAGUCUGCAACUCGACUACAUGAAGCUGGAAUCGCUAGUAAUCGCGAAUCAGAAUGUCGCGGUGAAUACGUUCCCGGGCCUUGUACACACCGCCCGUCACACCAUGGGAGUUGGAAGCACCCGAAGCCUGUGACCCAACCUGCAAAGGAGGGAGCAGUCGAAGGUGAAGCCAGUGACUGGGGUGAAGUCGUAACAGGGUAGCCGUAUC
rnacentral:rRNA from 1 species